CCUACGGGGGGCAGCAGUGGGGAAUAUUGGACAAUGGGCGAAAGCCUGAUCCAGCCAUGCCGCGUGUGUGAAGAAGGCCUUCGGGUUGUAAAGCACUUUCAGUGGGGAAGAAAGCCUUGGGGCUAAUACCCUCGAGGAAGGACAUCACCCACAGAAGAAGCACCGGCUAACUCCGUGCCAGCAGCCGCGGUAAUACGGAGGGUGCGAGCGUUAAUCGGAAUUACUGGGCGUAAAGCGCGCGUAGGCGGUCUGAUAAGCCGGUUGUGAAAGCCCCGGGCUCAACCUGGGAACGGCAUCCGGAACUGUCAGGCUAGAGUGCAGGAGAGGAAGGUAGAAUUCCCGGUGUAGCGGUGAAAUGCGUAGAGAUCGGGAGGAAUACCAGUGGCGAAGGCGGCCUUCUGGACUGACACUGACGCUGAGGUGCGAAAGCGUGGGUAGCAAACAGGAUUAGAUACCCCAGUGUC
rnacentral:rRNA from 1 species